AAUACAAAAUAGGGCUGGGGAUGCAGCUCCGUGGGCAAGUGCCCCUGAGUUCAAUCCCCAGUACCAAAGAAGAAAAAGACCCACCAUGACUGUGGCCAAAGUCUUGGAUAAAGGAAGGGAGAGUAGAUAUGUGUUCAUCAAGUGUGUCUGGACGACAUUGGAGAUGAGCCAUUGCUUAUCUUCUGUCGUUUGUCCAUUUCCCUGUGCAAGCAGACCAGUGGGCGUUGUGCUCAUCACCUUAGCAGAGGCAUGUGGCAGGGUACAGAAUACCAAAAAAUCUUUUACAAAAGGGAUUUAUUUAGGGUUUUGUGUAUCCUCUUAAAUUUUUUUCCCAUUCUUUUAUUGGUGCAUCAGAGUUGUACAUAAAGGUCAGAUUCAUUGUGGUAUAUUUGUACAUGCAAGCAAUAUCACUGUAUAAUUUGACCACAUUGUUCCCCAGGCUUUGUGCUUCUUGAGGAGACUUGGAGGGAUAGUGUUUUCCGUAGGGCAAAGGAAAAAAGCCUCUGGGGAGUCAAGUCCUCUGGGAGGUACCUCUGGACAGCAGGACAUCUUUCAAGAGAGGCUCAUUCCUUGAACUUUCCAAGAACCUGAUGGACCAGAUGGGCCCUGAGAAUAUGGCGGACCUUUUAAGAUGGACAUUAGAGGACUUGUUGUCCACCUGCAUGUGCCUCACUGCAUGAGGCCCUGGCACAGCUCUAAGGCUGUGACAACUCUAGACAGUGAGUGGGAGCUGGGGACAGGAAAUUAGGAUGAUUGGAAAGAAUGACAGUUUUGCUUCUUGAUCCCCAGGAUAUAAGAGAUACAAAGUUACAGAUGCCCGGAUGUAAACUCCUUUCUGCCAGGGGCCUGGGGACAAAUCAUCAAUGAGUUAGAAAUGGUGUACUUGAGGUAUCAUCAUUGGUUGAUCAAUACCAAGGUGCUCCUAAGUCUUUAUUUUUAUUUUCUAUCUUGAUGAGAAACUUACAAUUUUUGUUCUGUGAUAGUACAAACAGAAUUGUGCUAGUCACAAUUUUUUGAGGGGUGUGUGCUGCAGAUUGAACUCAGGACUUCACUCAUGCUAAGCAUACACGCGAUACGAUUGAGCUACACCCCAGCCCUGGCUGUUUCCAAUUUGUAUAGGUAAUUUUGUGUAUGUUUCAUGGCUCCCACUUGUUUCUGUCUUAUGGCUUUCUUGUUUUGGGGUGGUUCUGGGGGAAUGUACCCCUUCACCCCAUCCCUUAGUUUGUCGCUUUGUUACUGUGGCUGUCGGGGCAUCAUGAGACCCUUGCAUAAGAGGUUGCACAGGGCAGGGCUUCCCCUGCCUUCACUCCCAGACUUCUGUGCCUGGGUCUAGAGGAGCCUUUCCCCCCACCUCAGAAGUUAAUUGUAGGGCUGUGGUUGUGGCUCAGUGGUAGAGCGCUCGCCUAGCAUGCGCGAGGCCCUGGGUUUGAUCCUCAACACCAUAUAAAAAUAAAUAAAUAAACAAAAUAAAGGUAUUGUGUCUAACCAAAAAAUAAAUAUUAAAAAAAAAGUUAAUUGUAGAGGCUGUGUAGAACAUUCUUCAGGUACGGAAGCAACUGGCUAGACUCCUUUAAGCGCUGUUGUCCCAAGGAAAUCUGAGACUGCCUCUCUGGGAGUAGGAAGCAAACUCAUUGGCUAAGUAAAUACUCGUCACUGCUCUGCCCUUGGUUUUCUGAAGUUUGCAUUGUUUUCCCAGGAUGGCUGGAAUAUGGAGAAAGAGAAAAACUAACCCUGGCUGCAGCUCAUGUGUGCCCCCUACACAGUUCUUCCAGACAACUGGGAAUGGUGAAUCUGGAGUGCUCUGUGUGUAAGCAUGUGUGUGUGUCCUGGUGUGAGCGUGGCAGACCAAGGAGAACCAGCUUGGAGGGAGAAGUAGUUGGAGGGUGUAACAGGAAGGCAAGAGGCAGGGCUGGCUCCCACUUUGUUGACUUAGCAAGUCUGACUGCAAAGCCAAGGCCUUUGGAAAGAAUGGCCUCCCUGCUUCCGGCAGUUUCUUUUGAGCUGGUUCCCAGACUGAGCUAGAUUCUGACUUGUUGAUGUUCAACUGGGUUCCAGAGCACUCAGGCUUCUUGGGUCCUUCUUUCCUGUGAAUCGGAAUUUAUCCCAGGGGCAUGCUUCCACUUCCUGAUCAUUGCAAGGCUAUAGUGGGAAUUAUUUUCUUUGGUCUGAAAGGGAAAAUAUUCAACUCUUCACCAUGAACUGGAAUUAUUGCUGCUGAUAUACAGUUUAGGAGCAUUCCUAUUCCUGGGCUCCCUGAGAGGGUCUCAGCUGUCAGCCAGAUGGUUCUGAGGCCCAGGGCCUGCAGCUACCUCUGUAACCAGUUCCUUCCUCCUUGCAACAUGUGUUUCCUAGCCAAGUAUAAAAUGUCUUGAGAAGUACAAAAAUGAUAGAAGAUGUGAAAGAACUCUGAGAAACGUAGAAGAAACACCAAUGAAAGAUUGGAGAUGAAAGACUGCAAUGUGGAAGCCAAGCCAUACAUUAAGAAAGAUGGACAGACGGUGUUGGAAAAAGAACAGCAACUCCUGGGUACAAGAUGACUGUUCCCUAGAAAUGCUGGUUGGGUAAUCAGUAGUCUGACUAAUGUGGAAGAUCACAGCCCAGUAAAAAUGUGUUAUGGCUGAGUGUCUUGCAGUGCAAGCUGGUGCAAAUUAAGUGCUAAACACAUAAAAUAAAUAUAUGAAACUAGUUGUAUGUGCUGUAACUCACACUGCUGCAGGAGCUUUUAAA